rnacentral:rRNA from 1 species
GACGAACGCUGGCGGCGCGCCUAACACAUGCAAGUCGAGCGGAGUACCCUUAGGAUUCUCUUCGGAGAUGAAUGAGGAAUACUUAGCGGCGGACGGGUGAGUAACACGUGAGCAACCUGCCCUUAAGCGCGGGAUAACAGUUGGAAACGACUGCUAAUACCGCAUAAAGCCUAGAGAUGGCAUCAUCAUUAGGCCAAAGAUUUAUCGCUUUUGGAUGGGCUCGCGUCUGAUUAGUUAGUUGGUGUGGUAAUGGCACACCAAGACGAUGAUCAGUAGCCGGACUGAGAGGGCGACCGGCCACACUGGAACUGAGACACGGUCCAGACUCCUACGGGAGCAGCAGUGGGGAAUCUUGCACAAUGGGGAAACCCUGAUGCAGCGACGCCGCGUGAACGAAGACGGUCCUCUGGAUUGUAAAGUUCUGUCAACGGGGACGAUAAUGACGGUACCCGUGGAGGAGCCACGGCUAACUACGUGCCAGCCGCCGCU